rnacentral:rRNA from 1 species
AACGAACGCUGGCGGCAUGCCUAACACAUGCCAGUCGAACGAGACCUUCGGGUCUAGUGGCGCACGGGUGCGUAACGCGUGGGAACCUGCCCUUAGGUUCGGAAUAACUCCCCGAAAGGGGUGCUAAUGCCGGAUAAUGUCUUCGGACCAAAGAUUUAUCGCCUUUGGAUGGGCCCGCGUUGGAUUAGCUAGUUGGUAGGGUAAAAGCCUACCAAGGCGACGAUCCAUAGCUGGUCUGAGAGGAUGAUCAGCCACACUGGGACUGAGACACGGCCCAGACUCCUACGGGAGGCAGCAGUGGGGAAUAUUGGACAAUGGGCGAAAGCCUGAUCCAGCAAUGCCGCGUGAGUGACGAAGGCCUUAGGGUUGUAAAGCUCUUUUACCCGGGAUGAUAAUGACAGUACCGGGAGAAUAAGCUCCGGCUAACUCCGUG